CUACGGGCUGCUGCAGUGAGGAAUAUUGCACAAUGGAGGAAACUCUGAUGCAGCAACGCCGCGUGGAGGAUGACGCAUUUCGGUGUGUAAACUCCUUUUAUAUGUCAAGAAAAUGACGGUAGCAUAUGAAUAAGCUCCGGCUAACUCCGUGCCAGGCAGCCGCGGUAAUACGGAGGGAGCAAGCGUUACUCGGAAUCACUGGGCGUAAAGGACGCGUGGGCGGGAUAGAAAGUCAGGUGUGAAAUCCUAUGGCUCAACCAUAGAACUGCACUUGAAACUUCUAACCUAGAGUAUGGGAGGGGAAGAUGGAAUUAGUGGUGUAGGGGUAAAAUCCGUAGAUAUCACUAGGAAUACCAAAAGCGAAGGCGAUCUUCUGGAACAAUACUGACGCUAAGGCGUGAAAGCGUGGGGAGCAAACAGGAUUAGAUACCCGGGUAGUC
rnacentral:rRNA from 1 species